UUGACCUCGAAUCAGGUAGGAAUACCCGCUGAACUUAAGCAUAUCAAUAAGCGGAGGAAAAGAAACCAACAGGGAUUGCCCCAGUAACGGCGAGUGAAGCGGCAACAGCUCAAAUUUGAAAUCUGGCUCUCGGGCCCGAGUUGUAAUUUGUAGAGGAUGCUUUUGGUGAGGUGCCUUCCGAGUUCCCUGGAACGGGACGCCAUAGAGGGUGAGAGCCCCGUCUGGUUGGACACCGAUCCUCUGUAAAGCUCCUUCGACGAGUCGAGUAGUUUGGGAAUGCUGCUCUAAAUGGGAGGUAUAUGUCUUCUAAAGCUAAAUACCGGCCAGAGACCGAUAGCGCACAAGUAGAGUGAUCGAAAGAUGAAAAGAACUUUGAAAAGAGAGUUAAAAAGUACGUGAAAUUGUUGAAAGGGAAGCGCUUGUGACCAGACUUGGGCUUGGUUGAUCAUCCGGGGUUCUCCCCGGUGCACUCUUCCGGCUCAGGCCAGCAUCAGUUCGCCCUGGGGGAUAAAGGCUUCGGGAAUGUGGCUCUCUCCGGGGAGUGUUAUAGCCCGCUGCGUAAUACCCUGUGGCGGACUGAGGUUCGCGGCAUUCGGCAAGGGAUGUCUUGGGUAUAUU
rnacentral:rRNA from 1 species